GUAUACAAACAAACUUUUUCCGAUGAUGUCCAUUUGAUGAAAUAUCAUGUGGUGCGACCAUCAAGAAACAACCAAUUUGGGACUUUUAUGCUGAAAUCCAUUCAAAGACAGGAAGUUGCAUCAUACACCAUUUUGCCAAGGACCCAUGGAAGAAAGAACAGAUGCCACUUCCAAGCAAAAUAAAAACCGCUCGCCAUAGGCAGCGUGUUAAUUCUGACCCUGCAGCAAGAGCGAAGUACCUUGCUCGGAGAAGAGAAAGCUACCAGAGGAGAAAACAGCAGGGAAGAUUCAAUAUGCUAAGUCAAGUGAGCUGACAGAGAGAGAGAAAAAGAAACAGAGAGAGAAAUGGAGAGCUUCCUCAAGUGCGUAGAGGGAAAGGAAAAAUAUGGCAAAUGCUUUGCUAGAAAUUACGCCGCCAUCAAUGGAGAACAUUCCACAAGAUCUGGUUGAUGUGAUUGUAACCUAUGAUGAGCCUCCAUAUGUAGGCCAGGUCCUUGAAGUUGUGGAAGAGGAAGUCCAAGAUUGGGCAAAGUUCAAAAAGGUCUGGGAUUAAAGUAAUGCCUGCGACUUAAACCAAGUGCACCACAUUUACAGGUAAAGUUUAAUGAAAUGUUUGUUCACAGCUAUGUGUGUUGCACUUCAAUGUUUGUGAGUUUUUGUUUAUUAAAAAUGUAUAUAUAAUGUUU